GGAAAACGAGCCCGCGUAGCCCGUGUCCCGCCUUAGUCGCCUCCUCCCUCCCCCUCCUCCCACCUCAAGAACCCUAGCCGCCGACUCCGACUCCUCCUUCCACCUCAGCCGCCCCCCGCGCGCAUCCGUCCGCCCCGGAUGCGGAGGCGAGCUUCCCGGCGACGGCAGCGGCGCUGGAUUCGAUCUGCAGGCAUCUGCUCCAUCCCGUUCUUCUCCAGCCGAACAGGGGCCGUUCUUCUCCAGCCGAACAGGGGCGAGUCCGCGGGGCGCCGCCGGAUGGGGAAGGAAAUGGAGCCCAGGGAGAGGGUCACCAGGAGGGAGCGCCGCCGGCUCGUUGUCGUUCACACCGUGCUGGAGUAGAGAUGCCUCUCUGCAACCCUCACGCCCGCAGCUGUUGGUUGCAGGGCCAUUGCGAGGAGCAGAAGGUAGAGGUCGCGAGCUGGCCGGAGCAGCAGGGGAAAGGAUCCGGCGGCCUCUGCCUCCCCGUUGCACACUCUUCCUGCUUUAUUUUCAGUUUUUACAUGUUUUUUUUAUCACUUGUGUCAGGGAGGUGAGAGGUUGGGCAUUUUAGCAAUGGCAGCCAUGGUUUCAGCGAAGGAUGCCCAUGCCUUAUGGCUAUGACAACAGCAUCAUCACAAGGAUAGACCAUAGCACGACACAGUAUUUGAUAUAUAUUGGGUAUGGAUGAUUUACUCGUAGAAUGUCCCAGAAUUUGUGAAUCUCAGUGUACAAGAAUCAACACGGAUGCUGAAACAUUGAUUUUUGCUGAAGGUUCUUCUGGUUUACCCAGGUGCCAUUCGGGGAUGGCCAAUACUAAUCUAUUAUUAUGGAAUAAACAAAAGGCCGCUUCCAUUUCUUAAAACAAUCUUCAGGAAUACACUGUACAAUUAGUAGCAUCAGCGGCAGUGUCACUUUCAUCUGACAAAAUGCCCAAAGACGCCACCACAGAAGGAUGGUCAUCAGGAGCCUGAAAUUGUAGCUGGGCCUCAACCGGUCAGACAUGGAGCUCCAGCAAGCAUGUGUGCCUACCCUCCUUGCCCAUGAGUUCCUGCAACAACAGCAGAUCGUGUGUGUGGGGUACCAGCCAGAUAAAUACUACACAAAUCAUGUUCAUGGCCUAGCAGGCGAUAACGGCACCACGAGGAUUCGCUUCCGUGAGGAGGACCCCACCCGUAUGAUGGCCACCGGAAGGUCACACACUUCUUUGGCUCGCUCAGACCGGCUCCAUUGACGGCUUUUCUAAGGUAUCUUCUUGUGCAGCUUCACACUUGCUUGUGUGUCUUGCAAAAAAGUAAGCUACUUGGUACCUCUCUACUCUGCUUUAGCAGGCGUUUGCAGAGGAAGCCAAGGGAUACAUGAUGCAGGUGUAUUUUUUGGGUCCUCUUGGCGUGUUGAACAAAAAUUGGCGUUCAGCACUACUAUUUAAAGAUGGUUUGAUCAGUACUAGGGAAAACCCAUAGAUGGAAGGAAAUUAUUGUAGGUAUCUAAGAAUGUUGAUGAUUACACUCGGAGCAAGCCUUGUCGCGGUGCUGCAAGUGUUGCCCCCCUCCUCCCCAAGGGCAAGGUGAAGGAAGGUGCCUGUGUGGUUCUUCUGCAGCUCGCAGCGAGGAUUGUUGUGUCCAACCUGCACAAGAAUGCCGAGAAGUCCUUCUUGGAGACGUAAGCCACGGUGCAUGUUUCUGCCAUGAUUUCCUCCAGUUGGAUUUCGUGGAUUUAGGUGUUGAAAAAUUAUGGGAUGUGGAUGUAGGAUUAAGGACAUGUACCUGCACUACAACGAGAGAUCUAGGCUGCUUCUUUGUGGCUUCUAAACUUGAAAUGUUUGUUUGGAAGUUAGUUUAGUUUUUUUUGUGAAUUCACAGCUUCUCACAUGUACCAUCCUCUUAGACCUUUAGAUUUCCAAAGAAACUAAAUGAAGAUAUGAUGGUAUGGUCUCAAUAGUACAACUUAAAACCUUCCAUGUUUUA